AAGUCGUAACAAGGUAACCGUAGGUGAACCUGCGGUUGGAUCAUUAACCAAUUGACGGUCUUUUCAAAAGGCCUGUUAACACUUGUGAACUGUAUAUUGUCUCUGGCGGGUUAUGCUCGCCAGUUUAUAAACUAUUGUAUUAAACUUUUUGUCUAGAAAAUCUUGUUAUUAAAUAAACAACAACUUUUAACAACGGAUCUCUAGGCUCUC
rnacentral:misc_RNA from 1 species